rnacentral:misc_RNA from 1 species
GAUACCACCAUCAAGUAGCAGUAUUUCCAUGUUAAUAUUCAUGAGUUUUCAUUUAAAAAAAUUAUAAAAAUAUUUAAUGUACAACUUUUGAGAUUGACAAUAUUUAUUUUCUUUCCAUCUCAACUUCCAUAAUAAAAUUCUUAAUCAAAUAACUAUAAUUAAAAUCUAAAAACCAUGGCUAACAGCAGCUUCAGAUCUCCAAUGCCUUGCUUUCUCAAACCCAUUAACAAAAUUCUCAAAAUCACCAAUUGUUUGAUCAAUCUCUUCUUGAGUGUUCAUCACAAAUGGCCCCCAUUGCGCUAAAGGCUCACCUAUUGGUUCUCCUCCAACCAAAAUGAACCUUAGGGUUUUGGAUGACCUGUUCCAAGCCUCCAACCCAUCUCCAUUCCCUAGAAGGAGGAGGUGGUGAGCUGAUACUGGCAAAGAUUUUGAAUUUCCAAAGAUGCCUUCACCUUCCAAGACAUAGACAAAAGCAUUCCAAGCUAAGGGUAUGGGUUGUUCAAGGUGAGCUCCUGGUUUCAGACUGAAAUCCAUGUACAUGGUAGGGGUCCUUGUGUAGACUGGGGAUUUUGUCCCCAAGGCUUCUCCUGCUAUCACCCUAACCUUGAUCCCAUCUUUUGAUGCUUCUGCUAUGUCCUUGCUGGAUAUUUCUUGAUAUCUAGGCUCAAUCAUCUUAUGUUUUGAGGAGAGGUUGAUCCACAGCUGCAGACCCUUCUGGGUUCCUUGAGCUGCAGGCAUCUCAGAGUGAACAAUCCCUCUUCCUGCAGUCAUCCAUUGCAAGUCACCAGUACAUAUGGUCCCCUUGUGCCCUUCAAAAUCUUCAUGUGUCAUAGCUCCCUGCAACAUGUAGGUAACUGUCUCGAAUCCUCUGUGUGGAUGAUCAGGGAAACCAGCUGGGGCAGUAACAGAGAACUCAUCCAAAACAAGGAAAGGAUCAAAGUACUUCAAUUCAAACCUUCCUAUGCUCCUUCUAACAAUGGCUCCAACUCCUUCAUGUUGAGGCCUAGCCAAGAACUUCCUAACCACCUGGCGUGGUUCUUCAAGAACACCAGAAUUCUCUCUUUGAGGCAUUUCUUUUCUUCUCUAUAAAAAUAAAUAAAGCUAUAACAGUAACUACAGAUUUCAAAUGUGAGAAGCUAAGAGAAAGGUUUGAAACGUAUAUAUAGAUUAUUUGCAGAGCGGUAUAACUUAGCUGCUUUGUUUGGAAGGUCAAAGGAAAGUUUUAGGUGGCCCACAUGGGGAGUUUUCCUUGAGCUCAAGCGAGGGGAAGGGACCUUCUG